GACGAACGCUGGCGGCGUGCCUAAUACAUGCAAGUAGAACGCUGAAGAGAGGAGCUUACUCUUCUUGGGUGAGUUGCGAACGGGUGAGUAACGCGUAGGUAACCUGCCUUGUAGCGGGGGAUAACUAUUGGAAACGAUAGCUAAUACCGCAUAACAAUGUAUUACACAUGUCGUUUAUGUGAAAGGGGCAGUUGCUCCACUACAAGAUGGACCUUCGUUGUAUUAGCUAGUAGGUGAGGUAAUGGCUCACCUAGGCGGCGAUACAUAGCCGCCCUGAGAGGGUGAUCGGCCAGACUGGGAGGGUGACCCGCCACAGAGGGACAGGGGAGGGAGCAGGAGGGAAACGGGGGCAAGGGGGGCGACACUGACCGAGAAACGCGGAAGGAGGGAAGAAGGUUUUCGGGUCGUAAAGCUCGGUUGUAAGUUAAGAAAGGGUGUGAGAGUGGAAAGUUCACACUGUGACGGUAGCUUAUCAGAAAGGGACGGCUAACUACGUG
rnacentral:rRNA from 1 species